GACGAACGCUGGCGGCGUGCCUAAUACAUGCAAGUAGAACGCUGAAGAGAGGAGCUUGCUCUUCUUGGAAGAGUUGCGAACGGGUGAGUAACGCGUAGGUAACCUGCCUUGUAGCGGGGGAUAACUAUUGGAAACGAUAGCUAAUACCGCAUAACAAUGGGUGACCCAUGUCAUUCAUUUGAAAGGGGCAAAUGCUCCACUACAAGAUGGACCUGCGUUGUAUUAGCUAGUAGGUGAGGUAACGGCUCACCUAGGCGACGAUACAUAGCCGACCUGAGAGGGUGAUCGGCCACACUGGGACUGAGACACGGCCCAGACUCCUACGGGAGGCAGCAGUAGGGAAUCUUCGGCAAUGGGGGCAACCCUGACCGAGCAACGCCGCGUGAGUGAAGAAGGUUUUCGGAUCGUAAAGCUCUGUUGUAAGUCAAGAACGAGUGUGAGAGUGGAAAGUUCACACUGUGACGGUAGCUUACCAGAAAGGGACGGCUAACUACGUGCCAGCAGCCGCGGUAAUACGUAGGUCCCGAGCGUUGUCCGGAUUUAUUGGGCGUAAAGCGAGCGCAGGCGGUUUGAUAAGUCUGAAGUUAAAGGCUGUGGCUCAACCAUAGUUCGCUUUGGAAACUGUCAAACUUGAGUGCAGAAGGGGAGAGUGGAAUUCCAUGUGUAGCGGUGAAAUGCGUAGAUAUAUGGAGGAACACCGGUGGCGAAAGCGGCUCUCUGGUCUGUAACUGACGCUGAGGCUCGAAAGCGUGGGGAGCGAACAGG
rnacentral:rRNA from 1 species